GGUUAAGUUAGAAAGGGCGCACGGUGGAUGCCUUGGCACUAGGAGCCGAUGAAGGACGGGACGAACACCGAUAUGCUUCGGGGAGCUGUAAGCAAGCUUUGAUCCGGAGAUUUCCGAAUGGGGAAACCCACUGCUCGUAAUGGAGUAGUAUCCAUACUUGAAUACAUAGAGUAUGAGAAGGCAUACCCGGGGAACUGAAACAUCUAAGUACCCGGAGGAAGAGAAAGCAAAUGCGAUUCCCUGAGUAGCGGCGAGCGAAACGGGAACAGCCCAAACCAAGAGGCUUGCCUCUUGGGGUUGUAGGACACUCUAUACGGAGUUACAAAGGAACGAUAUAAGCGAAGAGGUCUGGAAAGGCCCGCCAAAGAAGGUAACAGCCCUGUAACUGAAAUGUUGUUCUCUCCAGAGUGGAUCCUGAGUACGGCGGAACACGUGAAAUUCCGUCGGAAUCCGGGAGGACCAUCUCCCAAGGCUAAAUACUCCCUAGUGACCGAUAGUGAACCAGUACCGUGAGGGAAAGGUGAAAAGCACCCCGGAAGGGGAGUGAAAUAGAUCCUGAAACCGUGUGCCUACAAGUAGUCAGAGCCCGUUAACGGGUGAUGGCGUGCCUUUUGUAGAAUGAACCGGCGAGUUACGAUCCCGUGCAAGGUUAAGCAGAAGAUGCGGAGCCGCAGCGAAAGCGAGUCUGAAUAGGGCGCAUGAGUACGUGGUCGUAGACCCGAAACCAGGUGAUCUACCCAUGUCCAGGGUGAAGUUCAGGUAACACUGAAUGGAGGCCCGAACCCACGCACGUUGAAAAGUGCGGGGAUCCNCCCAACUGAUCUACCCAUGUCCAGGGUGAAGUUCAGGUAACACUGAAUGGAGGCCCGAACCCACGCACGUUGAAAAGUGCGGGGAUGAGGUGUGGGUAGGGGUGAAAUGCCAAUCGAACCUGGAGAUAGCUGGUUCUCUCCGAAAUAGCUUUAGGGCUAGCCUCAAGGUAAGAGUCUCGGAGGUAGAGCACUGAUUGGACUAGGGGCCCCUACCGGGUUACCGAAUUCAGUCAAACUCCGAAUGCCGAUGACUUAUCCUUGGGAGUCAGACUGCGAGUGAUAAGAUCCGUAGUCGAAAGGGAAACAGCCCAGACCGCCAGCUAAGGUCCCAAAGUAUACGUUAAGUGGAAAAGGAUGUGGAGUUGCUUAGACAACCAGGAUGUUGGCUUAGAAGCAGCCACCAUUUAAAGAGUGCGUAAUAGCUCACUGGNAAGUGGAAAAGGAUGUGGAGUUGCUUAGACAACCAGGAUGUUGGCUUAGAAGCAGCCACCAUUUAAAGAGUGCGUAAUAGCUCACUGGUCGAGUGACUCUGCGCCGAAAAUGUACCGGGGCUAAACGUAUCACCGAAGCUGCGGACUGUUCUUACGAACAGUGGUAGGAGAGCGUUCUAAGUGCAGUGAAGUCAGACCGGAAGGACUGGUGGAGCGCUUAGAAGUGAGAAUGCCGGUAUGAGUAGCGAAAGACGGGUGAGAAUCCCGUCCACCGAAUGCCUAAGGUUUCCUGAGGAAGGCUCGUCCGCUCAGGGUUAGUCGGGACCUAAGCCGAGGCCGAAAGGCGUAGGCGAUGGACAACAGGUUGAUAUUCCUGUACCACCUCCUCACCAUUUGAGCAAUGGGGGGACGCAGGAGGAUAGGGUAAGCGCGGUAUUGGAUAUCCGCGUCCAAGCAGUUAGGCUGGGAAAUAGGCAAAUCCGUUUCCCGUGAAGGCUGAGCUGUGAUGGCGAGCGAAAUUUAGUAGCGAAGUUCCUGAUUCCACACUGCCAAGAAAAGCCUCUAGCGAGGUGAGAGGUGCCCGUACCGCAAACCGACACAGGUAGGCGAGGAGAGAAUCCUAAGGUGAUCGAGAGAACUCUCGUUAAGGAACUCGGCAAAAUGACCCCGUAACUUCGGGAGAAGGGGUGCUNUCGAGUCAGGUAGGCGAGGAGAGAAUCCUAAGGUGAUCGAGAGAACUCUCGUUAAGGAACUCGGCAAAAUGACCCCGUAACUUCGGGAGAAGGGGUGCUUCUUAGGGUGUUAAAGCCCCGAGAAGCCGCAGUGAAUAGGCCCAGGCGACUGUUUAGCAAAAACACAGGUCUCUGCGAAGCCGUAAGGCGAAGUAUAGGGGCUGACGCCUGCCCGGUGCUGGAAGGUUAAGAGGAGCGCUUAGCGUAAGCGAAGGUGCGAAUUGAAGCCCCAGUAAACGGCGGCCGUAACUAUAACGGUCCUAAGGUAGCGAAAUUCCUUGUCGGGUAAGUUCCGACCCGCACGAAAGGCGCAACGAUCUGGGCACUGUCUCAACGAGAGACUCGGUGAAAUUAUAGUACCUGUGAAGAUGCAGGUUACCCGCGACAGGACGGAAAGACCCCGUGGAGCUU
rnacentral:rRNA from 1 species